ACCUGGUUGAUCCUGCCAGUAGUCAUAUGCUUGUCUCAAAGAUUAAGCCAUGCAUGUCUAAGUAUAAGUAUUGUACAGCGAAACUGCAGACGGCUCAUUAAAACAGUUAUGGUUUAUUUGAUGGUUAAACCUUUGCUACUUGGAUAACCGUAGUAAUUCUAGAGCUAAUACAUGCACGAAGGAGCGACUCACGAAGCUCUGUAUUUAUUAGAUUAAAGCCGAUCCCUUCAUUGGGCCUUGGUGAAUCAUAGUAACUUCUCGGAUCGCCGGCCCUGUUGCCAGCGACGUGUCAUUCAAAUUUCUGCCCUAUCAGCUUUAGAUGGUAGGAUAUGGGCCUACCAUGGCGGUGACGGGUGACGGAGAAUUAGGGUUCGAUUCCGGAGAGGGAGCCUGAGAAACGGCUACCACUUCUAAGGAAGGCAGCAGGCGCGCAAAUUACCCAAUCCUGAUUCAGGGAGGUGGUGACAAGAAAUAACAAUAGUUCGCCCUAGUGGUAAGCUAAUUGGAAUGAGUACAAUUUAAACAUCUUAACGAGCACCAAUUGGAGGGCAAGUCUGGUGCCAGCAGCCGCGGUAAUUCCAGCUCCAAUAGCGUAUACUAAAGUUGUUGCAGUUAAAAAGCUCGUAGUUGGAUUUCUGCCCGGGCGGGGCGUCCGCCGGCCUCAGGUCGGGUUGGGCAGCAACGCCCGGGCAUCCUGCCGCGAUCCGCGCUACCAUUCAUUUGGUGGCGUCUCGGGGACCGGCUCGAUUACUUUGAGAAAACUUGAGUGUUCAAAGCAGGCAAUUGCCUUGAAAAUUGUA
rnacentral:rRNA from 1 species